GAUGAACGCUGGCGGCGUGCCUAAUACAUGCAAGUCGAGCGAACAGACGAGGAGCUUGCUCCUCUGACGUUAGCGGCGGACGGGUGAGUAACACGUGGAUAACCUACCUAUAAGACUGGGAUAACUUCGGGAAACCGGAGCUAAUACCGGAUAAUAUAUUGAACCGCAUGGUUCAAUAGUGAAAGACGGUUUUGCUGUCACUUAUAGAUGGAUCCGCGCCGCAUUAGCUAGUUGGUAAGGUAACGGCUUACCAAGGCAACGAUGCGUAGCCGACCUGAGAGGGUGGUCGGCCACACGGGAACUGAGACACGGUCCAGACUCCUACGGGAGGCAGCAGUAGGGAAUCUUCCGCAAUGGGCGAAAGCUGGACGGAGCAACGCCGCGUGAGUGAUGAAGGUCUUCGGAUCGGAAAACUCUGUUAUUAGGGAAGAACAAAUGUGUAAGUAACUAUGCACGUCUUGACGGUACCUAAUCAGAAAGCCACGGCUAACUACGUG
rnacentral:rRNA from 1 species